rnacentral:rRNA from 1 species
UACGGGGGGGGUAAGCGUUGUUCGGAAUUACUGGGCGUAAAGGGCGCGUAGGCGGCUUAUCAAGUCAGGCGUGAAAUUCCCGGGCUCAACCUGGGGGCUGCGCUUGAUACUGAUGAGCUUGAAUCCGGGAGAGGGAUGUGGAAUUCCAGGUGUAGCGGUGAAAUGCGUAGAUAUCAGGAGGAACACCAAUGGCGAAGGCAGCACUCUGGGACGUGACUGACGCUGAGACGCGAAAGCGUGGGGAGCAAACAGG